UACGUAGGGGGCUAGCGUUGUCCGGAAUCAUUGGGCGUAAGGCGCGUGUAGGCGGCCCGGUAAGUCCGCUGUGAAAGUCGGGGGCUCAACCCUCGAAAGCCGGUGGAUACUGUCGGGCUCGAGUGCGGAAGAGGCGAGUGGAAUUCCUGGUGUAGCGGUGAAAUGCGCAGAUAUCAGGAGGAACACCGAUUGCGAAGGCAGCUCGCUGGGACGUUACUGACGAGAGACGCGAAAGCGUGGGGAGCAAACAGG
rnacentral:rRNA from 1 species